UUCUAGUGGCUCAGUCAGUAGACCACAGUGCUCGCAACGCAAAGGUUGUGGGUUCAAACCCCAAACAAGAAC